rnacentral:hammerhead_ribozyme from 1 species
AUCGGCUGAUGAAUCCCAAAUAGGACUAAACAUAGGUCCUAGAU